ACUUCUGCUGUUCAAUGCUGCAAAUGAUGCCUUUAGCAAGUGUAAUCAUCAGCUUGUCCAUCUGCCUGAUAUACACCAGCAGGAAAGAAUGAAGGCGGAUGAAAAUCCUAUCAUACCCUGCAGAAAAAAAAAGGACAAAUAAGGAUAUAGAAGGAUCUAGGAGAUGGCUGCAACUUAGAGGGGACUGGAAGGAAGUCAAAAACUAAUGAAGGAAUUCAGAUGCGCUCUGUGAGCUUGUUGUGGCUAAUCCUCAACUCCAGCGGGAAGGACUUAGCUGUUGUUACUCGUAUACGUGUAGGGCAGGAAAAGAAGCAUUAACAACAGAGAAGAUUCUUGCUUUCAGUGCUCCUCGCAGCUAUCUGCAUAUCACAACCCCCAUGACACAUCAUUACUGCUAUUUCAAUCUCUGCAGGAGAAUCAUUAUCUGUGAACUGGAGCAUGCUCAUCAAACACUGCAUCCUGCAUGAUGACAAGAGCUUCACUCCAGCAAAUUAAUGAAGUGCAUGCUCAGUGCUAAGCAGCCAAGGUCUCACUGACUUCAAUGAGACUAAAGUUAAUUGCCUCACUGGAGUAUGAUAGUGUUGUCAGAUCAGAAGGUUGGAAGCUACUGAAUAACAAUAAUAACAAUAAAAAAAAUAUAAUGAUGAUGCCUUCUUACUCCUCAAGAACAAGAAAAUUACAUGUCUAUUAAUUUAUGUCUUUAUAAAAUAAAGUUUACUUAAGGAUUUGGCCAACAGAUAUUGUAAAAUAUUUUCAAUUCUUUGGCUGCUAGUAUCUUUAUAAAAUAAAGAGAGACUAGGAGAAUCUUAAGAAAUAAUGAUGGCUAUUUUUAACAUGAAUGCACACAAAAAAGAUAAAACUCCCUUCUUUCCUUCUCUGGGCAUUCCUUUAACAACUGUGUAGGAAGCA